UAGCUCAGUCAGUUGAGCAUGGCGCUAACAAUGGCAAGGUCGCGGGUUCGAUUCCCGU
rnacentral:tRNA from 1 species